rnacentral:rRNA from 1 species
UACGAAGGGGGCUAGCGUUGUUCGGAAUUACUGGGCGUAAAGCGCACGUAGGCGGAUUGUUAAGUUAGGGGUGAAAUCCCGGGGCUCAACCCCGGAACUGCCUUUAAUACUGGCAAUCUCGAGUCCGAGAGAGGUGAGUGGAAUUCCGAGUGUAGAGGUGAAAUUCGUAGAUAUUCGGAGGAACACCAGUGGCGAAGGCGGCUCACUGGCCCGAUACUGACGCUGAGGCACGAAAGCGUGGGGAGCAAACAGG